rnacentral:rRNA from 1 species
AUGUGGUCUCAUCUUCGCCAGCGCUAUCAGCCCUCCGGUGAUGCUCUCUACUUGUCUGUGGUCUGUCAGGAGCAUGCUCUCCAGCAGGGAGACUCCACUAUUGAUGAGUUCUACACUCAGAGUUCUGCUAUCUGGCGCCAGCUUGACUCCCUUCGCACUACUGUUUGUGGCACUUGCCCGUGUUGCCAGAGUGUGAGAUCAGACUUGGAGUUUCAACGUGUCUAUGAGUUCUUGUCACGGCUUCGUGGGGAGUUUGAGCCUCGACGUGCUCAGUUGUUUGCUCGUGGCCGUGUUCCUAUUUCUGAGGUGCUUUCUGAGCUUCGUGCUGAGGAGACUCGCCUCCGUGGUGCUGGUUUGCUUCAGGUUCCCUCCGUGCUCGCUGCUCGAGCUGCUACUCCACCACUGUCUUCUCGCUCCAGUGCUCCGCCGCUACUGCCCACUCCUCCGGGUAGCCGAUCUCGUCCUCGUACUCAUUGUGACUACUGCAACAGGGAUGGUCACCCUGAGUCUGACUGCUUCAAGAAGAAGCGUGACAUGCGUAAUAGGGAGCGCAAUUCUUCUUCUGGGACUCAUGCUUCUUCCUCGACGCCGUCUACUGUC